rnacentral:rRNA from 1 species
GGUGGGGUAACCCUUACGGGAGCCAGCCGCCGAAGGUGGGACAGAUGAUUGGGGUGAAGUCGUAACAAGGUAGCCGUAUCGGAAGGUGCGGCUGGAUCACCUCCUUUCUAAGGA